rnacentral:lncRNA from 1 species
UUCUCCCUACAGGUGUCACUUAAGGAGAUCGUGCAGGAGAUUUACCCGGUACUCAUGGUCCAUGAAGACAUGUGUCACUGCACCUGCUUCUCACUGCACCUGGACAGCAACAUGCCAAACCACUUCCCAGGGCUGCGAAGCACUGAGGAGCUGCAGGAGGGCUCAGGGCUGUGCGUGAGGGAAGAGCUACACACACUGCUCAAGGCCUGCUUCCACUUGAACCAUGUCCAAGACCAGCUCAAGAGCUUGGUCCCAUCUGCUGCCUUCAGCAGGACUGACUAAAGCUGCUUCUUCUUUCUGAGCAUCUUCUCCUGGGAAGUGAAAGAAUGGCUUGGAGAUGAGCCUCUUUCACUGUGUGCCACCUGAAUACAUCUUGCCAGGGACCCAGGAGGGGCCAUUGUAUCUCCAGAGCCAUGACUGGAAGCACUUUCAGUGCCUAAAAGUGCCUAGCAUGAGCAACUGGAACCCACUUCCUGGUAACUGCAAGAUGCAAGGGGACCUCAUGUACCUCUUUGCAAUUACAGACAAAGACCAGAAGGGCAGCAUCACUGCAUCCACGUGGGGCUCUUACUGGAUCCAGUCUACAGCCUAUCACUCAACCCCAAGCCCACCAGCCCCUGCUUCCUAAGCCAUUCCCCACUGGAGCUGCUCAAGUACAGCAGACUGAAUGUCACAAAACACUUUGUCAUGCCAUGAAAGAAAAGGUAAGGUCCAGCACCACCCAUUCUCCCAGGUCACCACUCCAUUCCAGGUGUGCAGCUGGACAGCUUCCCAGGCAGAGGCUGUCAUGGACUCCAUGCACACAGAGAAUGCCUAAACCUUGAGGCUGGACUAUGAGGAGAACAUUCCUGAACAGACUGAGGACUGAAACAAGGAGCUGCAGACAAUGAGGGAACUAUUCUGCAAGAACCGGCCUUAGCGGCUGCUUCAAGAAAGAACAACAAUCAAAACUGACCCUUGGAGCCAGGAGGUGAUUUACAACAUGUGCAAGGCAGUCAGCUCCAUCAACUCUAUGGCCUUCAACGCUCACUUCAACUCGGACAUCUCACCAGCUUCCUUAAAGAGGAUUGUGAGCUCAUCAGGGAGGUCCUGAGCCUGUAGAACAUGCCUGAGGCCACACCCAUGGGGAUUACGCCUACUUGCACCUCUUUGCUCAUUCCACAACACUAUGGGUGACUAUGCCGAGAUGGACCCUCUCCUGAGUAACCAACACAAGGCAGUGCUAAUGAGUGGGUGAGUGAUGGGCAUCGGGCACCCCAAUACCAUCCGGGAAGAUUUGAACACCACCUGGGCUGGGGCUGUAGGGGGUAGAGGCUGUGGCUGCCUUGGCUUGUUAUGGUGCCACCCACAGGUGCAUCUGCCCUGUGCUACUUCUCCAGCAGUCAGCUGCCCAUGGUCCUGAGCCUGCCAUGCCAUACCUGCUACCUCAUGCUGCUCAUGUUUUAAGAAAACAUCCCGAGAUGGUGCUGCUGGAUGUGAGUGCUG